UACGUAGGGGGCGAGCGUUGUCCGGAAUGAUUGGGCGUAAAGGGCGCGUAGGCGGCUUGUUAAGUCUGGAGUGGAGGUCCUCUUUUCAAGGGAGGAAUUGCUCUGGAAACUGGCGGGCUUGAGUGCAGGAGAGGUUAUCGGAAUUCCCGGUGUAGCGGUGAAAUGCGUAGAGAUCGGGAGGAACACCAGUGGCGAAGGCGGGUAACUGGACUGCAACUGACGCUGAGGCGCGAAAGUGUGGGGAGCAAACAGGAUUAGAUACCCCCGUAGUCCCUGAG
rnacentral:rRNA from 1 species